rfam:Picea glauca, whole genome shotgun sequence.
ACAUGCCUACAACAUAGCGUUAAUGCACCAAAUCCCAUUAGAAAUCUGCAAUUAAACAUGCUCAAGCUAGAGUAGUACUGGAAUAGGUGACUUCUCAAGAAGUCCUAGUGUUUUACAUGCC